UACGUAGGUGACCAGCGUUGUCCGGAUUUACUGGGCGUAAAGAGCGCGCAGGCGGUCGUUUAAGUCGAGUGUGAAAGCCCCCGGCUCAACUGGGGAGGGUCAUUCGAUACUGAUCGACUUGAAGGCAGGAGAGGGAAGUGGAAUUCCCGGUGUAGUGGUGAAAUUCGUAGAUAUUGGGAAGAACACCGAUGGCGAAGGCAGCCAUCUGGACCGACACUGACGCUGAGGCGCGAAAGCGUGGGGAGCAAACAGG
rnacentral:rRNA from 1 species